AGCAACAAAUAUAGCUGCACUCACGGACUUGUAAUAAAAUUGUCUCUUCUUUAUUGUUUCAUAUUAAAAUUAUCUAUGUUUCAGUCCCUCAUGAUCCUGAGGAAAGUCCCCAUGAGGGACUGAAACGUUGAUCAUUUUAAUAUGAAACAAUAAAGACGAGAAGAUUUUAUUACAAGUCUGUGAGUGCAGCUAUAUUUGUUGCU